rnacentral:tRNA from 1 species
GCGUGUGUAGUAUAGUGGUCAGUACCUCACCUUGUGGCGGUGAAAUCCCUGGUUCGAAUCCGGGCACGCGCACCA